rnacentral:tRNA from 1 species
GGAGAGAUGUCCGAGCGGUUUAAGGAGCCGGUCUUGAAAACCGGUGUUCUCUCAAAAAGAACCGUGGGUUCGAAUCCCACUCUCUCCG